GUGGAGACCUUUGGCAGCACAUGAUCUUGGGCACAUCACUUCCUUUUCCAGGCCUUGAUGCCUAGUCCUAGGGAUCUAGUUUUUUCCAGCUCUGAAGCCCUCAGAUUUGAUGUCUACCACUUUCUCCACCUUUGCCUAGCUUGCUGAUCCAGGCCAGGCUUUGGAGCAAGCAGCCUAGAUUUUCUUCAUUGUUUUCUGGAAGUGAAUAGCAGGAAUGAAGUCCCUUGGCUUCAGAGUGGGUGAGAGCCCUUUAGGUGCAUGGUGGCCUCUUCUUUGGGGCAUGAAAAUUCUAGAAGAGCAGGUUUUCCCAAUGACCAGGGUUUGGCAAACUAUGACCCAUGGAUUGGAUACCUAUUUUUGUAAAUAAAGUUUUAUUGGCACAUAGACAUGUUUAUUAUUUAUGAAUUGUUUUUGGCUGGUUUCAUGUGAUAGGGGCGUGGUUAAGUAGUUGCAACAGAGACCAUAUGACCCUACAGCCUAAAAUAUUAACUCUCUUGACCUUUAAGAUAUAAAAGAUAAAAGUUUGCCAAUCUCUGCCAUAGGUGAUGAGAAAAGUGUUUGGGUCUCUGUUGGGGGUACUUACUGUGAUCAUUUCAGAUCUCCAGAGUUCUUGAAGAUUCUGCAUUGGGCCUGCCUUUAAGAUCCCAUAGGAGGAUAAUCUAGUAGUCAAGAUGAUAGAUUAUUAGAGUUAGCCUUAAAAAUAGCAAUUCUGUAUCAGAGAAACUCCUCAUUUUUAGCCCUUUUCUUGGAGUCUGGAGCGUGCCCCACCCUGUCUUUGGGCCAGGAGGCCUGAGAGUUCCUGUGCAGGGCUGGGUUGUGGCCUUGGUUUGACAAGCUACUGUCCUUCCCUCUCUAAUUUCACAGGCCUGUGCAGAAGAGAUUGGACUGACCCAAACCCAGCUCAGGACAGGAGAAGGGAGGCUAAUGGUUCCUGCCAAGUCCUACAGCUAAGUCUCCUGAUAUCUCUGCUUUACCACUUCAGGCCUCAUUACCUGCUUUAGUUUCAGGCCCUGAAGAUGCUCCUGCAGAGAUGAUCUCCACCCCAGCCUGGUGUGUCUUCCUGAACCUGGCACUCAUCAACACUGUCAGACAGGCCCUGGGCUCGGAGUUGGGGUGUGUUUCUGUACUGGCUUGGGGCUGGGAUUAGCAUUUUUUUUUUUUUUUGCAGGCCAUUUUUAUGGAGUUCUUUUGUGUACUGGUUGCCAUCUUGUUGACCUGGGUCCUCAUACUGGAGUCUUGGUGAAAUUCUUGACUGGUAACAGGGCUCAUUUAAAGUUCUUGUUGCUGUAGAACAGCAACAACGCAGCAGUUGGGGCAGUUCUUCUCAAGGCUGUGAUAGGAAGUGAAAGACGCUGUGGCAAGAGGAAACCACAUGCACAGAGCAGUGGGGAGAAUGGGGAGGGGUGACUGAGGUUUAUUCCCAUUGCAGCUAGAAGGGAGAAGGGAGGAGGCUGGUAGUGGGAGGAGGGAGCAGAUGAUCCAGAAUAGGAAAGAAGGCAGAAGCCAAGCACACCGAAAGCUGCUUUUAGCUGGUAAUGGUAAGCCAGGCUCCAGAAACCUUCCUUUGUACCUCCCCGAUACAUUUCCCCAGAGGCUGGGUCUCUGGCUGCUCAUCAAAAAAAAAAAAAAGAAUCUCAUUAAAAAAUUCUCUUUUACUACCUUUCAUUUGUGGAGUUCAGGGUGACCUCCACAUUACGUGGGCUUAAACUAUUGUUGGGACCUAUGCAUUGACUUGGGAGAAUCAUUCACUUUAUCUGUUGGAUAUUCAUUAAGUUCUGUUAUGUGUCAGACACUGCGUGAAGUUCUGAGGACACAGGGGUGAAUAAAGGAUUCACAAUCUGGACUGGAAGGCUGAUGAACAGUUGAACCAAUUUUAAUUCCAUGUGCACUAGAUCAUAACGCUUCAGGAGAGCGUGUCUGUGUCUGUCUUGUUCAUUGCCGUCACCUUGGUGCCGGAUGAAGAGCUGGCAUGCUGGAGGCAUGCAGAUGUUUAAUUGGCUGACCCAUCCUUAUUUGGUUUGCUUUGGAAAUGUGCAGGAGGGAUCUGAGUAGGUAAGUGGAGGAAGAAAGGGACUCACACCAGUAAGAGUGACAAGUUUGGGGAGGGAUGGACAUACUGGGGUAUACUGCUAGUGUGACUGCCUUUAAGGAAAAGAGGAUAGGGAGGGAUUAAUGCCAAUGAGCAUGAGAAAAUUCAUUGCCAUCAAUCAGGGCCAUGAGAAAGGAGGAGUAUGACUUGGUACCCAGAGGUGGGUUAAAGGCAGCCAGUACUAUCAGAACAGAGGGCUGGGGAAAGAAGGAAGAACUCAUGGCAGGAAAGAGAGGAUUGGCAAGGGGGAGUAGAAAUCAGUGUGAGGAAACAGGAAACACAAGCAUCUCUGGGCCCAGAGUGAGGGCAGACAUGUAGCCUGUGAAUCCAGAUGAACAUGGUGGCAGGGAUGGAUAAGAGGCGGGAUUCCCAGCCAUGUUCUGCAGGUCUCUGUGGAAAUGACUGUGCCUGUGUAUGACCAGAUAUACCACUCGGUUAAUUUCUUACGGUGCAGCAAAUGCAAAUAUGUCAACUGUGAUUUGACGUUAUGGUUAUUCUUUUAUUAAAAACUUCUUACUGUGGAAAUUUUCACAGGCAUAUGAAGGUAAAGUGUUUUCAAUCUUUAUGUUCCCAUCACCCAGUUUUCAACACACAUUCAAUGCAUAGCCCAUCUCCUCUCAUUUAUUAUCCCUUUCCCCCCUUCAUGGAUUAUUUAGUAGCACUUCUCAGGCAUUGUAGCAUUUUAUCCAUAAAGACAUCAUUAUGUAUCUCUGGAUGAUAAUACCUUUAUCACACCUGGAGAAAGCACAGUCAUGCCUAAAUAUCACCUGUCAUCCAGUUGGUAUUUAAGUUUCCCCUGUUGUCUCUCUUUUUUUUUUUAAACUAUUGGUUUAAAUCAAGAUCCAAAUUAAGAUCCACACUUUUCGUUUAAUUGAUAAACCUUGAAAUCUCUUUUAAUAAAGAGUACAGCCAUUCUUAAUUUGUUUUGCAGUUUUUCAUUUCUACCUUUACCUAGUUGCCCACCACUAUCCCCAGUCAACUGCUGUCAACAGCUUGCCUGGGUUUCAUGGAAACAUUUUUAUGAUUUUGAACCUCCUCCAUUAUCCCUGUUGCUUUAUGGUUUCAUGUAACUAGUCAUUUAUUUCUUCCUUCAGUAAUGAUUUCUUGAGAGCUUGCUCUGUGCCAGGCACUGUACCAGACACUGUGCAUGCACCUGUGAAAAGACGGGCAGCAUCCUGCUCUCAUGAUGUUCACCAUCUAACCACGGAGAGCUGCCAUCAGUUUUCCCUGUGUGAGUUGUGUGACCGUGGCCAUCACUUCUGUGUUGACAGAUAUGCCCCAUUUUAGGGCUUGGUGUUCAUGUUCUUGUGCUGUCAUUUUAUGUGACUGAUGAGAGGUGCCCCCAAGAAACCAAGUGUUUCAUAGCCCUGCAACCUGCCUGCUAGCAGCGGUGCUCCCUUUACGUGUGUGUAUCCAUUUAACAUGUUUGGGCCUGAGUGUGUGUAGCUGAGAGUUAAAAUGGAGAGCUUACUUAACCGAUGGAUCAUAGAGAGGCUAAAUGAAAACCUUUAAAAGGUAUCCUGAAUUGGUAAAGGGCUUGGCAAGCACCAAGUGGUACUGAUGAUGUUUGCGCAAGUUCGAUGUUUCUCUGACUUUGUGGAGUGCAGCUUGAACUGGGGCUUUGCCUGCUUUAAUUAGGUUACCUGCGGGCCUUUCAGGUGACAGGCCCAUUUACUUGAUUUGCUGUUCUUUGCAGAGCUUACAGUAUUGUGUAUACAUACUUCUGCGGCAG
rnacentral:lncRNA from 1 species